AAGUCGUAACAAGGUUUCCGUAGGUGAACCUGCGGAAGGAUCAUUAUCACGUUAUCCACGUAUCAACCAUUUGUGAACCGUACUCCAACCUCUGGUCUUUUUUUCGUUUGUGUUGCCCUUCGCGGGUGAUGCAAAUGGGGGGAGGAUCAGAGCGUAUUAACCCUUUUUUACAUUAACCAUUCUAACCAAAUCUUUAUAACUUCAUGAACUAAUCUUUAUUUUAUACUCUUCGGAGAUAAAAUUCAUUACGAAACAAAGAACAACUCUUAGCAACGGAUAUCUUGGUUCUC
rnacentral:misc_RNA from 1 species